rnacentral:rRNA from 1 species
UACGUAGGUCCCGAGCGUUGUCCGGAUUUAUUGGGCGUAAAGCGAGCGCAGGUGGUUUAUUAAGUCUGGUGUAAAAGGCAGUGGCUCAACCAUUGUAUGCAUUGGAAACUGCUAGACUUGAGUGCAGGAGAGGAGAGUGGAAUUCCAUGUGUAGCGGUGAAAUGCGUAGAUAUAUGGAGGAACACCGGUGGCGAAAGCGGCUCUCUGGCCUGUAACUGACACUGAGGCUCGAAAGCGUGGGGAGCAAACAGG